GACGAACGCUGGCGGCGUGCUUAACACAUGCAAGUCGAACGGAAAGGCCCUGCUUUUGUGGGGUGCUCGAGUGGCGAACGGGUGAGUAACACGUGAGUAACCUGCCCUUGACUUUGGGAUAACUUCAGGAAACUGGGGCUAAUACCGGAUAGGAGCUCCUGCUGCAUGGUGGGGGUUGGAAAGUUUCGGCGGUUGGGGAUGGACUCGCGGCUUAUCAGCCUGUUGGUGGGGUAGUGGCUUACCAAGGCCUUGACGGGUAGCCGGCCUGAGAGGGUGACCGGCCACAUUGGGACUGAGAUACGGCCCAGACUCCUACGGGAGGCAGCAGUGGGGAAUAUUGCGCAAUGAGCGGAAGCCUGAUGCAGCAACGCCGCGUGCGGGAUGACGGCCUUCGGGUUGUAAACCGCUUUCGCCUGUGACGAAGCGUGAGUGGCGGUAAUGGGUAAAGAAGCACCGGCUAACUACGUG
rnacentral:rRNA from 1 species